CACCUACGGGAGGCAGCAGUGGGGAAUUUUGGACAAUGGGCGAAAGCCUGAUCCAGCCAUGCCGCGUGCAGGAUGAAGGCCUUCGGGUUGUAAACUGCUUUUGUACGGAACGAAAAAGUUCUCUCUAAUACAGGGGGCGAAUGACGGUACCGUAAGAAUAAGCACCGGCUAACUACGUGCCAGCAGCCGCGGUAAUACGUAGGGUGCAAGCGUUAUCCGGAUUCACUGGGUUUAAAGGGUGCGUAGGUGGGUUGGUAAGUCAGUGGUGAAAUCUCCGAGCUUAACUUGGAAACUGCCAUUGAUACUAUCAGUCUUGAAUAUUGUGGAGGUCAGCGGAAUAUGUCAUGUAGCGGUGAAAUGCUUAGAUAUGACAUAGAACACCAAUUGCGAAGGCAGCUGGCUACGCAUAUAUUGACACUGAGGCACGAAAGCGUGGGGAUCAAACAGGAUUAGAUACCCUGGUAGUCCACGCCCUAAACUAUGGAUACUCGACGUGCGCGAUACACUGUGCGCGUCUGAGCGAAAGCAUUAA
rnacentral:rRNA from 1 species